AGUGCUUGUGUGGGUUGUUGGUGUACAAAGACAUAAAAGAUGGUUAUAAAAAUAAAUCUUGUUUUGCAACCCAGAACUCAUUGUUCAGCAUGAGUUUUGGUGCUUAUAAGACACCACCUC
rnacentral:snoRNA from 1 species